GACGAACGCUGGCGGCGUGCCUAAUACAUGCAAGUUGAGCGCUGAAGGUUGGUACUUGUACCGACUGGAUGAGCAGCGAACGGGUGAGUAACGCGUGGGGAAUCUGCCUUUGAGCGGGGGACAACAUUUGGAAACGAAUGCUAAUACCGCAUAAAAACUUUAAACACAAGUUUUAAGUUUGAAAGAUGCAAUUGCAUCACUCAAAGAUGAUCCCGCGUUGUAUUAGCUAGUUGGUGAGGUAAAGGCUCACCAAGGCGAUGAUACAUAGCCGACCUGAGAGGGUGAUCGGCCACAUUGGGACUGAGACACGGCCCAAACUCCUACGGGAGGCAGCAGUAGGGAAUCUUCGGCAAUGGACGAAAGUCUGACCGAGCAACGCCGCGUGAGUGAAGAAGGGUUUCGGAUCGUAAAACUCUGUUGGUAGAGAAGAACGUUGGUGAGAGUGGGAAGCUCAUCAAGUGACGGUAACUACCCAGAAAGGGACGGCUAACUACGUG
rnacentral:rRNA from 1 species